rnacentral:rRNA from 1 species
UACAGAGGAUGCAAGCGUUUAUCCGGAAUGAUUGGGCGUAAAGCGUCUGUAGGUGGCUUUUUAAGUCCGCCGUCAAAUCCCAGGGCUCAACUCUGGACAGGCGGUGGAAACUACCAAGCUGGAGUACGGUAGGGGCAGAGGGAAUUUCCGGUGGAGCGGUGAAAUGCGCAGAUAUCAGGAAGAACACCAAUGCGAAAAGCAGCUCUCUGGGACGGUACUGACGCUGAGACGCGAAAAGCGUGGGGGAGCGAACAGG